UGGCUCAGUUGGUAGAGUAUGGUGUUUGCAACGCCAGGGUUGUGGGUUGGAUUCCCAC
rnacentral:tRNA from 1 species